AAUACACUAUAUAUGGUGGUAGAGCGAACUGUAUUUCUUUUCUAAGAUGCCAAAUAUAAUACUUUCUAAGUAUAAUUACGAUUAAUCUAAGGCGACCUAAAUUAAGAAACUGACGCACUGCUCUAUUGACGUCACUGCCAUUGUGACGUAAAUCAAAAAGUGCACAUUAUCGUCUGAUAAAGUACUGUCGGCGCCUUUGAUCUUUCAUCGGAGCAUCUUAGAUUAUAUCUUAUCCAGCCCUAAUGUGUGUUUUAUUGCUGCCAAAACCUGCCAAUCUAUCCUUUCUAAACGUGAGUGUUAUGUGUAUGCACAGGCAUAUGUAUGUAAUACCUAAUCCAGCUUUAUAAUUUAAUUGCUUAUGUUCAUUAUAACAUUUUUCGUUUUAUACAAUAAUAUUUUAUCUUUGUGUACAUUUUACAGAACUUAAUCUCUCAUUAUUCCUUACAGGAGCGGCUUAAUCUUCUAUUGCUUUUUUGUAUUGUAUCUAUAUUGUAUUGUAUCUAUAUUGUAUUGAGAUGAGACUUUCAUAAACAAUCUAUCUUUCUGUCUACAAUGUGCACGUAACGUCACUCGUGGAAUAGUUAAAACCAGAUACGAACUUUAACAAUAGCAUUCAUUUAUACUGAUUGAUUGUUAAUUAAAAAGGUCGGCUCUAGAGUAGAGGUAUAAUGUGUCUUUUGUCAGCAGUAUGAAUAUCAUCAGUAAUAAUAUAUCCCCGCGUCAGACAUAUGAUCGAUUCUUUUAUCAGACAGUAAUUGAUUGGUCAUUAGGCCUGGUAAGAGGAAUAUUAUGUCAUAUUGCACAUGAAAAAUCAAGUUCUGAUAUCAAAACAUCUUCGUACAGGAAACCUUGUACUGAUUGUGUCGGUUACUGCCUCCGCUGUGGUUGUAGUUGCUGGCAUUGUCAUUGGAGUAGUUGUCUGGAAGAGGAAACAAAGAGAUCAACCGAAGAUCUCAGAUCAAGCUGUACGCUACAACAUAGGUUCAUAUGAAAACAUUAAACCUGCAAAAACAACACCUGAAGACAACAAUCGUCAGUUCGAUGACAUGACGUAUGACAAGCUUGAUGUCAACUUACGCGAUAGAGGUCCUGAUGAAGAACCAUACUGUUCCAUACAGACUCGUCGAUCGGACGAGACAAACAUAUAUGAAUGUAUUGAUAGCAUUUGCGAAACUCCACAAGUUAUGUCCAGCAUGACAUCGAGUGGCAUACGUGAAGAACAUUGAAUACCGGAUUACGGUCACAAACAUCACUCAUAUGCAUAUACUUUUUUAAAAAUUAUACAAAUCUAUAGUUUCAACAAAUACUUGCGUAGACCCGGGUUGAAAAUCAUCUUCAGCAGUCCAUGCAUGUCGUAAAAGAGGACUGACAGUUCGGGUAGUCAAACUUAUUUAACUGGUUGAUCGAUACCCAUGAUGCCAGUCACUGGAUUACCGUCAUAUAGCUGGAAUCUUGCUGGGUGCUGCGUUAGAUAAAGAUUCAUGAAACAACAAAGAAAACAAUUGUUAAAGGAACAUUGUCACUGCGAGGAUAUAGACCUAGCAUCCUCCAGCAAACACAUGACUGUACAUGUGAGGGGUACGACUCAAGUUCCGCAAGUCCAAAAUUCGCAAAAGGGAAUGUGACAAGCAUUUACAUAUACCCUUCGUCUGUUUGAUUUAAUAGAAUUAUCUCGCUUUUGACAAGAUUGGAAUAAUCAUUUUGCAGCAAAGGGUAUUUGUCAGUAUUCGAGCCUUUUAACUCCUGAAGCCAAAUUCAAAUUGUCAAACAUUCCUGAAUAUAAUUUGACCUUACAGAGCUCGAAUUGUCAGCAACAAAUGUUUUGUUAUUUUUUUCGAAACAUAUCCAACCCCUCUAUAAAUAUGCCUCGAAAAUAAAAAAUAUUAAUCACAGCCAUUGUCACACCUUUCUGGUUAUUGUUGGAACUUCCCGAUGAAUGUAGGGUGAUUAACACACACGUGGUCGUGAUGCUCAGCUAUCAUAUGACAUUGUUUUACUUUGAAUUACAUAAGUAAAAAUGGGAAUACUGACAUUUAGAUUGAAACAUGCAUCAUGUUAAACAAACGUAUGCGUUGUAAAUUUAUAUUUUCGUAUUUAUGACGUUAUGGUUGUGCUUCAUUUCACUACUAUCUAUUGACCAAAAUAUGGAUCAUGUUCUUUAUACUUGACAAAUAUAUAUUUCAGGAUUUUAUAAUUUCUCACAUCAAAGAAUAAUUCUUUUAUUGAAACCGUCCGACUCCGAUGAUUGAUGAGAUGAGAGCGUGAUUCUACACUAUGCAAUUUAUCUGCAGUUGGAGAUGUGUUUGUCGGAGUGCCAUUAUGCUUCAACUACCAUUACAUCCCAUACAACUGUCACAUGUUGCCUCAUCUGUGCAAAUCAAUAAAAUAAUAAUGUGAGUGCAGAUUCAUUGAUAAUUUAAAUACAGUACGUUAGUGCAACUAAAUCACACAAAAAUGUAGACAUCUUGAUCGUCAUUAAAUAGUUACAUAUUGUAUGCCAAAUUAUAAUACAAAAUAUAAAUAUUCUUGCACAAC